rnacentral:rRNA from 2 species
UAGUGGCAGACGGGUGAGUAAUGUAUAGGAAUCUACCUAGUAGUACGGAAUAAUUGUUGGAAACGGCAACUAAUACCGUAUACGCCCUACGGGGGAAAAUUUAUUGCUAUUAGAUGAGCCUAUAUUAGAUUAGCUAGUUGGUGGAGUAAUAGCCUACCAAGGCAAUGAUCUAUAGCUGAUCUGAGAGGAUGAUCAGCCACACUGGAACUGAGAUACGGUCCAGACUCCUACGGGAGGCAGCAGUGGGGAAUAUUGGACAAUGGGCGAAAGCCUGAUCCAGCCAUGCCGCAUGAGUGAAGAAGGCCUUUGGGUUGUAAAGCUCUUUUAGUGAGGAAGAUAAUGACGGUACUCACAGAAGAAGUCCUGGCUAACUCCGUGCCAGCAGCCGCGGUAAUACGGAGAGGGCUAGCGUUAUUCGGAAUUAUUGGGCGUAAAGGGCGCGUAGGCUGGUUAAUAAGUUAAAAGUGAAAUCCCGAGGCUUAACCUUGGAAUUGCUUUUAAAACUAUUAAUCUAGAGAUUGAAAGAGGAUAGAGGAAUUCCUGAUGUAGAGGUAAAAUUCGUAAAUAUUAGGAGGAACACCAGUGGCGAAGGCGUCUAUCUGGUUCAAAUCUGACGCUGAAGCGCGAAGGCGUGGGGAGCAAACAGGAUUAGAUACCCUGGUAGUCCACGCUGUAAACGAUGAAUGUUAAAUAUGGGAAGUUUACUUUCUGUAUUACAGCUAACGCGUUAAACAUUCCGCCUGGGGACUACGGUCGCAAGAUUAAAACUCAAAGGAAUUGACGGGGACCCGCACAAGCGGUGGAGCAUGUGGUUUAAUUCGAUGCAACGCGAAAAACCUUACCACUUCUUG